UAGGGAAUAUUGCGCAAUGGGGGAAACCCUGACGCAGCAACGCCGCGUGAGUGAGGAAGGUCUUCGGAUUGUAAAACUCUUUUAUUUGGGAAAAAUGUCCAUAUGGCUAAUAUCCAUGUGGAGCGAUGGUACCAAAGGAAUAAGCACCGGCUAACUUCGUGCCAGCAGCCGCGGUAAUACGAAGGGUGCAAGCGUUGUUCGGAAUUAUUGGGCGUAAAGCGCGCGCAGGCGGAUUGAUAAGUCAGGUGUGAAAUCUCGAAGCUCAACUUCGAAACUGCGCCUGAAACUAUUAGUCUAGAAUGUCGGAGGGGGCAGGGGAAUUUCACGUGUAGGGGUAAAAUCCGUAGAGAUGUGAAGGAACACCGGGGGCGAAGGCGCCUGCCUGGACGACUAUUGACGCUGAGGCGCGAAAGCGUGGGGAGCAAACAG
rnacentral:rRNA from 1 species